rnacentral:sRNA from 1 species
AUGUACCACGCGUACACUGCGCUUCCUCCGCGCCGUCCGCACCACCUGACCAGCGCUCGUUACGUUUUGUUAGCC